rnacentral:rRNA from 1 species
CAGUAGCCGCGGUAAUACGAAGGGGGCUAGCGUUGUUCGGAAUUACUGGGCGUAAAGCGCACGUAGGCGGACAUUUAAGUCAGGGGUGAAAUCCCAGAGCUCAACUCUGGAACUGCCUUUGAUACUGGGUAUCUUGAGUAUGGAAGAGGUGAGUGGAAUUCCGAGUGUAGAGGUGAAAUUCGUAGAUAUUCGGAGGAACACCAGUGGCGAAGGCGGCUCACUGAUCCAUUACUGACGCUGAGGUGCGAAAGCGUGGGGAGCAAACAGGAUUAGAUACCCCCGUAGUCCCUGUCUCUUAUAC